UACGUAGGGGGCAAGCGUUGUCCGGAAUUAUUGGGCGUAAAGAGCGUGUAGGCGGCCCGGUAAGUCCGCUGUGAAAGUCGGGGGCUCAACCCUCGAAUGCCGGUGGAUACUGUCGGGCUAGAGUGCGGAAGAGGCGAGUGGAAUUCCUGGUGUAGCGGUGAAAUGCGCAGAUAUCAGGAGGAACACCAAUUGCGAAGGCAGCUCGCUGGGACGUAACUGACGCUGAGACGCGAAGGCGUGGGGAGCAAACAGG
rnacentral:rRNA from 1 species